rnacentral:lncRNA from 1 species
ACGUAGACAUAUUGGCUCUAACACAAUUUGUUUGGUUCAUUUAAAGCAACACCAACCACGGCUGGACCCAUUACAGCUACACUAGCUCAUUCAACUACACCUGGACCCACUACAAUUAAAACUACACCUGGACCCAGUACAACUACACUUGGACCCACUACCACCAUCACUACACCUGGAACCACUACCAUUGCAGCUACACCUGAUCUCACUACCACUUCAACUACACCUGGAACCACUACCACGACAACUCAAUCUGUACCAACUACAACUACACCUGUACCCAUUGCAGCUACUACACCUGACUCUACAGAGUCUCCUGCGGCAGGCGAAGGCACUUUGGAUUUAAAUUUCAGUUUGAGACGCACAUUUCAAAGCUCUUUGUCGGAUUCUACUUCCCCAGCAUAUCGGGUGCUGGCUAAUGAAGUCACAAGAGAGGUCAACAGAGGCUUCAGAUCCGUGUUUCCACGCACGUAUUCCCGAUGUCUAAUACGGUCUUUCAGUAAUGGCUCAAUUCGUGUGAAUAUGACUCUGGUAUACCAUAACCAAUCAGUGGUUCCAAAUGGAUUGACGGCAGAACAGGUAUUCAUGAGUGUCGUAACCAUGGGCAUCACCAACCUCAACGUGAAUGUUUCUACAAUUAACGCAACAACAAUCACCUCAGGAGGACCCACUCUGAAAAUGACCAUCACAACUGCAUUCUGUUUGCCCUUCUUCUUGACGGUCAUCAAAGGAAUGUUGUCCAGUACAUAGAACCCCCAUGUCUUGUAUAAUGUGGAAUGUUGAGUUACUUUUUUAUUAGAAUAUAUUGUUUUUAUUAUUCCAAUAACCAAUGAAAUCAAGAACCAGUACUUCCCCACAUACCAGCUUGAGUUGGAGAGUGAGUUCAAACAACGCUUUAAACUUUAUUUAAGCUUAAUUGUUUUUCUGUAGCAGGGUCUACUGAAAGGGGCACAGGGGCACAAAUAGCCUAGCGCUUCCCAUAAGUCGCCCUAAGAGGUCUUAUAGAGACCUAAUAGAGAACUGAACAUAUUUACUUGGACUAUCUCAGACCUGUGGGACUGUGUGUACUAGAGUUACUCUUAUAGAACACUGCAUAGAUGCACUUUUGUAUGUGCGAUAUCUCGGCUGCUAUCAAAUGGUCAUAUCUUCAAAUUUAAUAUGUUAUAGUUCAAUAUGUAUUGUUUAAAGGUUACUGCAAAUAACUAUAUUUUAUUUAUAUAUUUAGCCUCUUAUAGUUUGCGUUAUGUUUUGGCACUGAUUCUGAUG